rnacentral:misc_RNA from 1 species
UUGAUGACGACGCAGCAGCGUCUCAUUCGUCGCGUUCAGGAAGCUCUUUGUUUUUUGAAAGGGUGCUUUUAUGAGAUAGAGCUUUUUUAGAUAAUGCUGGGGAAGGUUUUCCGGUUUAUCGCGGAGGGCUUGAAGCUCAAUUGGUUAGAGCGCGCGCUUGAUAAGCGUGAGGUCGGAGGUUCAGGUCCUCCCAGGCCCACCAAUUUACCUAUCCAUUUGCCUUUAUCCGUUUAUUUGCCGAUUUAUCGGUCCAUUGAAUUUAAGUGUUGGUAACGGUUUUGAUAAUGAUGAGAAAUCAUGCUUAUAAAAAAAUUCCUUAUAAAAGGCUUGUUUUUAAAAUGUGAGGCUUAUCCAUUUCACUUAUGCAAAAUAAACUUCAAGCGGACAAAUGCCAAAGGCUUUAAAUUUUGCAAAACACUUUUAAUUUUAAAGUGAUCCAAUUUCGUGAUCUCGAAUUUAAAAGUUUCAAAUGCUUUAUCCUUUUUUGGGGGCCGUAACUCACCUAGGAGAGCACCUGCUUUGCAAGCAGGAGGCCUUCUGGUCAAGCACCUGCUUUGCAAGCAAGGGGCGUCGGUUCAAC